rnacentral:rRNA from 1 species
UACGGAGGUUGCGAGCGUUGUCCGGAAUCACUGGGCGUAAAGGGCGCGUAGGCGGCCUGAUAAGUAGGGGGUGAAAUCCUGCGGCUUAACCGCAGGGCUGCCUUCUAAACUGUCAGGCUCGAGCACAGUAGAGGCAGGUGGAAUUCCCGGUGUAGCGGUGGAAUGCGUAGAGAUCGGGAAGAACAUCAGUGGCGAAGGCGGCCUGCUGGGCUGUUGCUGACGCUGAGGCGCGACAGCGUGGGGAGCAAACAGG